CCUUGUCCCUUCUGUGUUUAAUCUGACCAUCUUCUCCUCACAGAUCAAGAAAAGGAGCUGAAUCUUUGUGGUGGCAUUAGAAUGGAUUUGUGGGGACUGUGUUCUCCUAUCCCAUCCCUGCUGCCAUCUCCCUGAGAUGGGUGAGGAACAAAGCCAACACACUAGCACCCUUUGCGACUAACUCAUCUAAUCCCACACGAGUUGCAGUAUCUGAUGCUUGGAGCAGGAACCAGUGCCCUCAAACAAAGCCUUCCUCUGUCCUUCUUCAAUGACUACACCUUCUGGACACAUGGGAUGAAAGGUUGCACCACAUAUCU